rnacentral:lncRNA from 1 species
AUAAUUAUAUUAUUAAGAUUAAACAUACAAAAUUUGAUCGCUAUUUUAUGAUUCAGUAAGUUGUAACUAUCGAUCAUUUAAAUCAAAUUUAGAAGAAAGGUCUUGAUCAAUUAAAAUUGGUAAAAGUAUAUAUAUAUAUAUAGGGUGGUGCUCACAUGAGAACCCCAAAUAAUAUGAGAUAUGAGAUCUAAUCUCAGCCCUCCAUUUUAUAUAAAAGCUUUUAAUCCAAGGCUUUUAUCUCUCCAAAAUCCCUCGUCUUCAUUUACCUGCCAGUUUUGUUUUUUCAUCUUGCUUUCACCCAUCCACCCACCCACUACUCGCCGACAUCCCUAUAUUGUACCACCAUCUCUCUCCACCAUUGAUCCCUAACCUUAGUUACUUACACCCAAAAUCAAUACACACGCCCUUGCUCUGUUCAUAACGCAAUCUCCGCCUUCCCGCUGCAACACGAUAUCGGCGCCGCCGUAGUCCCUCUCCACCUUCCAGUGACUACCGCUCGUCCCAGUGUUUCUCCAACGGCGUCUGCUGUAGCCUCUUGUUAUAUUUCGGCCGACGAUAACGUAGCUGAUGCCCCCCUCCAACAGCCAUGUCCUUGUCCCGCUAGUUCUUCACCUCCGAUUUCAAUACUUUUCGAUUGAAUCGACCGUACUAACGUCGACGCAGAUCUGGAGAUGGUUUUGUUGGUGGUAGUAUUAGUGUGGCAGUGGUGGUAUUGGUUUAAUACAAUGUUUUGUAAGGUGGCUGGGAAACGAUUUUUCGGAAAUGAUGCGGUGAUUAUUUUUUUUGCAGUGGUGAUUUUUGUUUUUCAGUGUUGAUUUUGCUCUGUAGUUGGUGAUUUUUCAGAUUUGGGGGUUGUAGAUGGUGGUGGUGGUCUGUAGAUGUGAUGAUGUGGUGAUUUUCGAUUUUUGACAGUGAUUUUCAUUUUUCCGGUGGUGAUUUUUAAUUUUCCGGUGGUGAUUUUCGGUUUGCGGGUGGUGAUUUUAUGUUUGUCGGUGGUGAUUUUCCGGUGGUCGCUGGAGGUGGGGGUGGUCGGAAACGGUGGUCGGCGGUGGUCAGAGGUGGCAGGUGGUGGAAUUAGAAUGAAUAUGGUGAUAAAAUAUUUAAAUAUUAAUAAUUAAUGUGUAGUGAAAUAUUGAUAUAAGAUUUAAAAGGUGUGGCUGAGAUUAGAUCUCAUAUCUCACAAUAAAAGUGGUUCUCAUUUGAGCAAGACCCUAUAUAUAUAUAUAUAUAUAUAUAUAU